UACAGAGGUCUCAAGCGUUGUUCGGAAUUACUGGGCGUAAAGGGCUCGUAGGUGGCCAACUAAGUCAGACGUGAAAUCCCUCGGCUUAACCGGGGAACUGCGUCUGACACUGGAUGGCUUGAGUGUGGGAGAGGGAUGCGGAAUUCCAGGUGUAGCGGUGAAAUGCGUAGAUAUCUGGAGGAACACCGGUGGCGAAGGCGGCAUCCUGGACCAUUACUGACACUGAAUAGCGAAAGCCAGGGGAGCAAACGGG
rnacentral:rRNA from 1 species